rnacentral:rRNA from 1 species
AUUGAACGCUGGCGGCAGGCCUAACACAUGCAAGUCGAACGGUAACAGGAAGCAGCUUGCUGCUUUGCUGACGAGUGGCGGACGGGUGAGUCAUGUCUGGGAAACUGCCUGAUGGAGGGGGAAAACUACUGGAAACGGUAGCUAAUACCGCAUAACGUCGCAAGACCAAAGAGGGGGACCUUCGGGCCUCUUGCCAUCGGAUGUGCCCAGAUGGGAUUAGCUAGUAGGUGGGGUAAAGGCUCACCUAGGCGACGAUCCCUAGCUGGUCUGAGAGGAUGACCAGCCACACUGGAACUGAGACACGGUCCAGACUCCUACGGGAGGCAGCAGUAGGGAAUAUUGCACAAUGGGCGCAAGCCUGAUGCAGCCAUGCCGCGUGUAUGAAGAAGGCCUUCGGGUUGUAAAGUACUUUCAGCGGGGAGGAAGGGAGUAAAGUUAAUACCUUUGCUCAUUGACGUUACCCGCAGAAGAAGCACCGGCUAACUCCGUG